rnacentral:rRNA from 1 species
AGCGAACGCUGGCGGCAGGCUUAACACAUGCAAGUCGAACGGGCGUAGCAAUACGUCAGUGGCAGACGGGUGAGUAACGCGUGGGAACGUACCUUUUGGUUCGGAACAACCCAGGGAAACUUGGGCUAAUACCGGAUAAGCCCUUACGGGGAAAGAUUUAUCGCCGAAAGAUCGGCCCGCGUCUGAUUAGCUAGUUGGUGUGGUAACGGCGCACCAAGGCGACGAUCAGUAGCUGGUCUGAGAGGAUGAUCAGCCACAUUGGGACUGAGACACGGCCCAAACUCCGUACGGGAGGCAGCAGGUGGGGAAUAUUGGGCAAUGGGCGAAAGCCUGACCCAGCCACGCCGCGUGAGUGAU